GCCAUGCCGCGUGGGUGAAGAAGGCCUAUCGGGUUGUAAAGCCCUUUUGUUGGGAAAGAAAAGCAGUCGGUUAAUACCCGAUUGUUCUGACGGUACCCAAAGAAUAAGCACCGGCUAACUUCGUGCCAGCAGCCGCGGUAAUACGAAGGGUGCAAGCGUUACUCGGAAUUACUGGGCGUAAAGCGUGCGUAGGUGGUUGUUUAAGUCCGUUGUGAAAGCCCUGGGCUCAACCUGGGAAUUGCAGUGGAUACUGGGCAACUAGAGUGUGGUAGAGGAUGGCGGAAUUCCCGGUGUAGCAGUGAAAUGCGUAGAGAUCGGGAGGAACAUCUGUGGCGAAGGCGGCCAUCUGGACCAACACUGACACUGAGGCACGAAAGCGUGGGGAGCAAACAGGAUUAGAUACCCUGGUAGUCCACGCCCUAAACGAUGCGAACUGGAUGUUGGGUGCAACUUGGCACGCAGUAUCGAAGCUAACGCGUUAAGUUCGCCGCCUGGGGAGUACGGUCGCAAGACUGAAACUCAAAGGAAUUGACGGGGGCCCGCACAAGCGGUGGAGUAUGUGGUUUAAUUCGAUGCAACGCGAAGAACCUUACCUGGUCUUGACAUCCACGGAACUUUCCAGA
rnacentral:rRNA from 1 species